rnacentral:misc_RNA from 1 species
UACGGGGAGGGCAAGCGUUACUCGUCAUAACUGGGCGUAAAGGGUGGGUAGGCAGCAAUAUAAGUUAAAUGCGAAAGAUUUAGUGGAAACUUUAGAUGUUAUUUAAUACUAUUUUGCUAGAGUACGACUGAAGAUAGCGGUACUUUUAAUGUAGAGGUGGCAUUCGACGAUAUUAAAAGGACCAUCAAUUUGCGAAAGCGGCUAUCUACACCGUAACUGACGCUGAACCAGGAAAGCAUGGGUAGCAAACGGG